AGUCGAACGUGAUCCAGGCUUCGGUCUGGUGAAAGUGGCAGACGGGUGAGUAACGCGUGGGAACCUGCCCUGUGGUAGGGAAUAACCGCGGGAAACUGCGGCUAAUACCCUAUGAGUCCUUCGGGAGAAAGAUUUAUCGCCAUAGGAGGGGCCCGCGUCGGAUUAGGUAGUUGGUGGGGUAACGGCCUACCAAGCCUUCGAUCCGUAGCUGGUCUGAGAGGAUGAUCAGCCACACUGGGACUGAGAUACGGCCCAGACUCCUACGGGAGGCAGCAGUGGGGAAUAUUGGACAAUGGGGGCAACCCUGAUCCAGCAAUGCCGCGUGGGUGAUGAAGGCCUUCGGGUUGUAAAGCCCUUUCGGCGGGGAAGAUGAUGACGGUACCCGCAGAAGAAGCCCCGGCUAACUUCGUGCCAGCAGCCGCGGUAAUACGAAGGGGGCUAGCGUUGUUCGGAAUUACUGGGCGUAAAGGGCGCGUAGGCUGUGCUGUAAGUCAGGCGUGAAAGGCCCGGGCUCAACCUGGGAAUGGCGCUUGAUACUGCGGCGCUGGAAGGCAGGAGAGGAUGGCGGAAUUCCCAGUGUAGAGGUGAAAUUCGUAGAUAUUGGGAAGAACACCGGUGGCGAAGGCGGCCAUCUGGCCUGCAAUUGACGCUGAGGCGCG
rnacentral:rRNA from 1 species